rnacentral:rRNA from 1 species
GAUUGACCUCGGAUCAGGUAGGGAUACCCCGCUGAACUUAAGCAUAUCAAUAAGCGGAGGAAAAGAAACCAACAGGGAUUGCCUCAAGUAACGGCGAGUGAAGC